CGCCUAACAGCUAGCUCACUCACCUAGUUUAACAUAAACGUAUUAAUAACCCCUAAAGCAGUUAAUAAUUUAAAUAAAUCAUUCUUCCCCCCUAGUAUGGGCGACAGAAAAGGAUCUAGACGCGAUAGAAAAAGUACCGCAAGGGAACGCUGAAAGAGAAAUGAAACAACCCAGUAAAGCCAAAAAAAGCAGAGCUCACCCCUCGUACCUUUUGCAUCAUGUUUUAGCUAGAGACCCCCGAGCAAAAAGAAUUUUAGUUCGACAACCCGAAACUAGGUGAGCUACUCCAAGACAGCCUAAUAAUAGGGCCUAUCCGUCUCUGUGGCAAAAGAGUGGAGAGAGCUUUGAGUAGAGGUGAUAAGCCUACCGAACCUAGUUAUAGCUGGUUACCUGAAAAUUGAAUAGAAGUUCAGCCUCAUGGAUUCUCACCUCGCCUCUGGCCCCUGCCUAAGUGAGAUACAAAGAAAUCAAGAGAGUUAUUCAAAGGGGGUACAGCCCCUUUGAAGCAAGAUACAACUUUUACAGGCGGCAUAAGAAUCAGAUAUAAGAAAGG
rnacentral:rRNA from 1 species